CAACUAAUCCCUCUGUCCCAAAUUUCUUGUCUUAGAUUUGUCUAGAUACGGAUGUAUCUAAUACUAAAAUGUGACUUGAUACAUCCGUAUCUAGACAACUCUAAGACAAGAAUUUUGGGACGGAGGGAGUACUUU
rnacentral:pre_miRNA from 1 species